GGUCAGGACGAACGCUGGCGGCGUGCCUAACACAUGCAAGUCGAGCGAGGAGAUCCUUCGGGAUGAUCCUAGCGGCGGACGGGUGAGUAACACGUGGGCAACCUGCCUCAUAGAGAGGAAUAGCCUUCCGAAAGGGAGAUUAAUACCUCAUAACAUUGCAGUUUCGCAUGGAACAGCAAUUAAAGGAGUAAUCCGCUAUGAGAUGGGCCCGCGGCGCAUUAGCUAGUUGGUGAGGUAACGGCUCACCAAGGCGACGAUGCGUAGCCGACCUGAGAGGGUGAUCGGCCACAUUGGGACUGAGACACGGCCCAGACUCCUACGGGAGGCAGCAGUGGGGAAUAUUGCACAAUGGGGGAAACCCUGAUGCAAGCAACGCCGCGUGAGUGAUGACGGCCUUCGGGUUGUAAAGCUCUGUCUUCAGGGACGAUAAUGACGGUACCUGAGGAGGAAGCCACGGCUAACUACGUGCCAGCAGCCGC
rnacentral:rRNA from 1 species